CCUAAAGGUAUUAUUGAGCUUAGUUCACUGUGUGUUACUCAUACAGGAAAUGACAUCAACGGGUCAAAAGUAAAGUAAAAAAAAAAACUCACACACAAAAAAAAUAAAAAAAAAAUACAAAGAGAAAAAAGUGUGCAGAGCAGGAUACAGGAUGCUUUGCGCACGUUAUCAUCGUUUGGAUAGAUGGAUGCAGAGAGGACAAGCCGCGCAAACAGAGGCUCACUGAACCUGCCCACACAAGACAUAUAUCAAGUCUGAUUGAGUGCUCCGAGAGGGACCCCAACAUUUUUGAACCACCAAGGGUGUCAUUUGCCAGAGGAAGCGAAGUGAGACAAACUGCCCACCCCCAGUCCGUCUGGAAACAUCUUGUUUUCCAAGCUGCAAGGUAAGCACUAUGCUAUUGUCAAUCAGUUGUCAUAAUUAAGAGGGGAUGGCCUUUCUGUACUGUGUACCUACCACAAAGAAACUGCAACAUUCUGCGGCCUUGUAUGCCUGAAGUCCCUAUUUCUAUAGUUAACUAAGACUUGUUAAGAUCGAUGAAGAUAUCUUCUGUCAGAAACUCAGGAGAAAUUGAUCAGGCUGAGGUAGGUUCUCUAUUACCUCUAAUCCUUCUAUGGAAAAGCGCUGAACCAAAUUUCUUUAUAUAUCUGAAGUAUUUCGAAGAAUAUAAAAGGUAAUUUUUAAGCAUCACACUGUCUUAAAACAUUUCUUAACAAUAUUCUAUGUACACAUUGAUGCCUUUUAAAAGAAAUGCAAGUUAUAUCACAAUUUGUGGAACUUUGUGAGUUUUCAAAUUUAUGGUCUACAAGCAAAAUCAAAGUAAAUAAGGUAAGUAUAACUUUAAGACCUAAACCUUAUGUAAGCAAAUUAUUGUUAAUGAUGAUUACAAAAGGUAAACAGGGCACUAUAUUGUGUGUAAAACAGAAGGUUUCCUCCACAUCAGUGUAUAUAUGUUCUUUCAAAAAAACCAAGCCUGUUAAAACUAUUUGAGGCACCAUUGAACAUACAGGUGCUAUAUAUUUGUUGUGGAGUUCCUCCAUUAGUAAGCACCAAAUAACCGCACCUGCCAAAGCUUUGAAGAGCUUGUGAGGUCAGAUUGUCAAUUAUGGUCUAUGCCCACUUUGCACUUCCUCUCUGCAUUCACACAAAUCCAUUCGCCACACAAUGCAUUUUAAAUCAAAGCCACAUCACCCUAACAUGCCUUAGGAAACAUUAAGCCAUAGUAUGUUACUUUCAUGUGUGAUAGCAUGACUCCUUUGGGCUUUGAAGUGCUCCCUUUUUAAUGCUUUAUUAAUAAUAACACUCUGUGGCUUCCUCUGACUGCAUGGAUGCUGCUUUGCGUAUCUCUCUCUCUCUCUCUCUCUCUCUCUCUCUCUCUCUCUCUCUCUCUCUCUCUCUCACACACUCUCUCACUCACUUUUCCUCUUUCUCUCUCCCUCUUCCUCAGUCUCUUAAGCAGGUCAUCAGGGGUUUGUUUUUGGGCUUUAGAUUAGACAGCAUACAGGCACUUCAGUGAUGCCAGAAUUCAACCUUGCACUCAGAAAGUGGCUGAAGAACAACCCUGCUAUUUGACACAUUCUCUUUCUAACCUACUGCCCCUCAAUGUUCUAGCACCAGCAGCAGGGGGAGCAUCAGGAUUACACACCCUGCUUAAUUUGUGUUUGUGUGUGUGCCUCUGUGUGUGCCUC